rnacentral:rRNA from 1 species
UACGGAGGGUGCAAGCGUUAUCCGGAUUCACUGGGUUUAAAGGGUGCGUAGGUGGGCUUGUAAGUCAGUGGUGAAAUCUCCGUGCUUAACAUGGAACUGCCAUUGAUACUAUAGGUCUUGAAUUAUCUGGAGGUUAGCGGAAUAUGUCAUGUAGCGGUGAAAUGCUUAGAUAUGACAUAGAACACCAAUUGCGAAGGCAGCUGGCUAACAGGUACAUUGACACUGAGGCACGAAAGCGUGGGGAUCAAACAGG